GAUGAAGAACGCAGUGAAAUGCGAUAAGUAAUGUGAAUUGCAGAAUUCAGUGAAUCAUCGAAUCUUUGAACGCACAUUGCGCCCUUUGGUAUUCCUUAGGGCAUGCCUGUUCGAGCGUCAUUUAAACCUUCAAGCUAAGCUUGGUGUUGGGUGACUGUCCGCUUCACGGCGGACUCGCCUCAAAAUUAUUGGCGGCCGGUACAUUGGCUUCGAGCGCAGCAGAAACGCGAACUCGGGCCCGUCGUAUUGGCUCCCAGAAGCUAUCUUCACAAUUUUGACCUCGGAUCAGGUAGGGAUACCCGCUGAACUUAAGCAUAUCAAUAAGCGGAGGA
rnacentral:misc_RNA from 1 species